GACGAACGCUGGCGGCGUGCUUAACACAUGCAAGUCGAACGGAAAGGCCCUGCUUUUGUGGGUUGCUCGAGUGGCGAACGGGUGAGUAACACGUGAGUAACCUGCCCCUGACUUUGGGAUAACGUCAACAAACUGGGGCUAAUACCGGAUACUAGCUCCUGCUGCUUGGUGGGGGUUGGAAAGUUUCGGCGGUUGGGGAUGGACUGGCGGCUUAGCAGCUUGUUGGUGGGGUAGUGGCUUACCAAGGCUUUGACGGGUAGCCGGCCGGAGAGGGUGACCGGCAACAUGGGGAAUGAGAUACGGCCAGGACCCCUAGGGGAGGAAGAGGUGGGGAAUAUUGCACAAUGGGGGGAAGCCGGAUGCAGCAACGCCGCGUGCGGGAUGACGGCCUUCGGGUUGUAAACCGCUUUAGCAGGUGACGAAGCGUGAGUGACGGUAAUGGGUAAAGAAGCACCGGCUAACUACGUG
rnacentral:rRNA from 1 species